rnacentral:rRNA from 1 species
CACGAACGCUGGCGGCAGGCUUAACACAUGCAAGUCGAGCGCCCCGCAAGGGGAGCGGCAGACGGGUGAGUAACGCGUGGGAAUCUACCCAUCUCUACGGAAUAACGCAUGGAAACGUGUGCUAAUACCGUAUACGUCCUUCGGGAGAAAGAUUUAUCGGAGAUGGAUGAGCCCGCGUUGGAUUAGCUAGUUGGUGGGGUAAAGGCCUACCAAGGCGACGAUCCAUAGCUGGUCUGAGAGGAUGAUCAGCCACACUGGGACUGAGACACGGCCCAGACGCCUACGGGAGGCAGCAGUGGGGAAUAUUGGACAAUGGGCGCAAGCCUGAUCCAGCCAUGCCGCUUGAGUGAUGAAGGCCCUAGGGUUGUAAAGCUCUUUCACCGGUGAAGAUAAUGACGGUAACCGGAGAAGAAGCCCCGGCUAACUUCGUGCCAGCCGCCGCAGUAACAC